rnacentral:rRNA from 1 species
AAGGCUUGACAUGCAUUUCUAAGCGCGUGAAAGCGUGUGACCCUUCGGGGGACUUGCACAGGUGCUGCAUGGCCGUCGUCAGCUCGUGUCGUGAGAUGUUGGGUUAAGUCCCGCAACGAGCGCAACCCCUGUGGACAGUUGCCAGCGGGUAAUGCCGGGGACUCUGUUCAGACUGCCCAGAUCAACUGGGAGGAAGGUGGGGACGACGUCAGGUCAGUAUGGCCCUUACGCCUUGGG